AGAGUACUCGAUACCCGCGUCGUACCGGCGGACAAACAACGUCAGCACGGAUCGUGCCAAGGAGCCGCAUACAGAGAAUCGUCGUCCCACGCCUUCGAUAGUCCUCGAUGCGGGACGGGGGCCGGGGGACGUGCGCAAUCUCUGCUCAAGUCUAAACGACUCUCGGCAACGGAUAUCUCGGCUCUUGCAUCGAUGAAGAACGUAGCGAAAUGCGAUACUGGUGUGAAUUGCAGAACCCGCGAACCAUCAAUUCUUUGAACGCAAGUUGCGCCCGAAGCCAUUCGGCCGAGGGCACGCCUGCCUGGGUGUGUCAAUCCCCUUGCCCCUGGGCACCCGCAUGAGCAUUGGCGGGGAUAUAUAUGCUCGGGCGCAGAAUAUGGUCUCCCGUGGGAUCGGCAUGCACGGCAUGUCGAGGUGCGGUUGGCCGAAAAUCGAGCAUGGCGGUGACGGGCACCACGGCGUUCGGUGGAUCGAGUGAGAUUGGCUGCGCCGUGGGCCCGGCAUGCUGGCGGGCUCCGGACUUUGGAAAUCCCCGAGUGCGAUCCCAGGUCAGGCGGGGCUACCCGCUGAGUUUAAGCAUAUCAAUAAGCGGAGGAAAAGAAACUAACGAGGAUUCCCUUAGUAGCGGCGAGCGAACCGGGAAGAGCCCAGCGUGAAAAUCGUCCGUCGUCGGCGGCCGAAUUGUAGUCUGGAGAAGCGUCCU
rnacentral:rRNA from 1 species